UUAAUAAUCUAUUCCAAUUUUUUAACUGAUGAUUGUUAUUUUCUACUCCCUCCGUUUUAAAAUAGAUGACCCAACUUUGUACAAGUUAGUACUCCCUCCGUCCGGGAAAAGUUGUCUUCGUGGUCAUUUUACAAAAACAUCCUCAGCUAAUUCCUGACAAACGACGCACCCCCGCCGCUCGUCUCCCCCGCUCGCUCCCCUGCUCGGCUCCCCGCGCCGGAGCUCUCCCGCGCAGCUUCCUCGAGCGUCGCCGGAGCUCCCCCUCCUUGGUCCCCUCCGCCGCUUUGCUUUCCCGCGCCCAAGGCUCGUUUUUUCCCGAUCUGCUCUCCGCCGGACGAGGACGCGCCCUUCCCCGAUGGUGGCGAGCCGGAGCUGGCCCUUCCCGGCGUUGAACUCGUCCACAUCGCCGUCAACCUCGUCCCUGCCAACCUCACCGCCAACCUCGUCGACCUCGCCGCCAACCUCAUCCAGCUCGCCGCCAACCUCGUCGGACGGCAGAAGCUCUCCACUUUCCCCCUACGGCAGAAGCUCUCCCCCACUCCCGCCCCCGCAAAGACAGAGUAAAGAUUCUUCUAUGAUCAAUGCAAAGACUAAUGGAGAUAAUGGCUAGUGCAAAGGAGUCUAUUUGGAUAGUGGAAGGGGAAUCAGAUUGCCUCGGGGGACAAAUUUGACUAAGGAGCAGCAGCAGUAGCACAAGGAGCAACUCCUUACAGUACAAUUUUGGAGUACUCUUGGUGUAAAUCAACUUCGCUAAUUUUCAGGUACAGUACUCUGAUGGAACAACAAAGAUUUCACAAAGAACAGCAAAGAUUUCACAAAGUACAGUGCUUACAUCAGUCUGCUGAUAAUGCAAUUCACACUAUAACUGAAACUGCAAUUGACACAGGUUCAGAUCAAUCAGCCACAAUCGGUCCAUUUUUCAGGAAGUACCUGCAGUCAACAGCAGUGGCAGAGGCAGUCGCCGAUAGCAGCAGGAGAUGCAGUCGCCAACAGCAGUAGCAGGUCCGCGCGGACUCGAUCGGGCGGGCUGCAGCGGCAGCAGUAGGUGGCGGGCGACGGCAGCGGCAGCAACAGGUCCCGCCACCGGGGAAGACCCGCGUGGCCCUGCCUGCCGAAGUCAGCGAGAGGGGAACGACGUCUGGGGUUGCCGCAGGCGCGAGGAACCGGCGCCGGCGAGGAGCGCGACGAGGAGGAGGUGCCCGUCGAGGUGGUCGCCUUGGAGGAGCAGCCGCAGUCGGGGUCGGGCUCCUCGAUGACGCAGGCGGCGCCGGCGCUGGAGGCGAUGCUGCUGCCCCGCUCGCCGGCCGUGCUCGAGCCCCUCGAUCUCCUCCCUCCUCCGGGACGCGGCCGUGCUGCUCCUCGGUGAUCCUGGACGCGGACGCGGCCGUCCUCCUCAGCGAUCCCGUGGCCGACGGCGGCGGCGAAGUCCGCGGGCAGGUCAGCGGGGCGGAGGGAGAGCGCGGCCGGGGCCGGACGGUGGACGGAUCGGGCGACGAAGGAAGGAGG